rnacentral:sRNA from 1 species
GGGCUCUAUGAAGGAUCAGAGGGUGCUGAGGAGGCACAGAGAAAGAGCUUCUAACUUGGGUAUUUUACUGUUCCAGGGUUGCCACUCAAGUACCUACAGAACAAACGGGUGUAGCUGGAAACUGUGGCAAACUGAAAGCAUGUAGGCACGGAGUAAGUAGCUAGAGCUGAUUUUUUUCAGUAAAGGCCACAAAUCCCAACUUUUAUGAGCUCCUCUUUUAAAUGCUGUAAAUGUUUUACAGUGGCGGGGCGUGGUGGCUCACGCCUGUAAUCCCAGCACUUUGGGAGGCCGAGGGGCAGAUCACCUGAGGUCAGGAGUUCAAGACCAGCCUGGCCAACAUCGUGAAACCUUUUCUCUACUAAAAUUACAAAAAUUAGCCGGGCAUGGUGGUGCAUGCUUGUAAUUCCAGCUGCUUAGGAGGCCGAGGCGGGAGGAUUGCUUGAACCCGGGAAGCAGAGGUUGCAGUGAGCUGAGAUCGUGCCACUGCACUCCAGCCUGGGCGACAGAGCAAGAUUCCGUCACACAAAAAAAGGGGGGGGCGUGGGGGGCGGCCAAACCAAACCCCGCAAGACACAUUUGGCUAUGACCUGCCAGUUUGCUAGGCAUUCUUCCAACCUUCCCUCCCUCUGACCAAGAAACUGAGUGUCCACUAUUUUAGGCCCUGGGAAAUUCAGUAGCGAGCAGACCAGACAGCUUCGUUGCAUCAUGGGGGCUCUGGUACUGUGCUUCUCCAACUUCAGGAUGUGUAGGAAUCACCUGAGCAGUCUUGUUGAGAGGCGGACACUGACUCGGGAGGUCUGCGGUAGGGCCUGAACGUUUGCCUUUGCGGUUCUAACAAGCUCUCAGGUGAUGGCGAUGCUACUGUUCCCUGGCCCCGAGGUGGAGGAAGAUUUAAGUAAAAGCUUCCUGGAGGAGGCGCAAGUGAACCGCAGGAGCUUUCCCGGACGCCCGAGAAAGGGAGAAACCCCGAAGGAAUUCCUCCUCUCUCGGGGCUGGGUCUCCGCAUCCACGCCGGGUUUGGUUUCCCAGGCUAUCCCACGUGUUCUGGCGUCCGUGUCAAUCAGGUUUUCCCCGGCUGGGUCCGGGUUUAAAGGCUGCUGCUGCGCAGGGCGCUCCCAUGGUGCCGCGCGGCGGGCGGGUUUGGAUUUUAAAUCCCCGCGGCCAAUCAGUGGCGCGCAGGCUUUUGUAACGUUCCCAGCGCCGCGUUUGAAUUCGGGGAGGAGCGGAGCGGUGCGGAGCUUCUGCUCGGAUCCAGGUCUGCAGAGCAGCUUCGGGAGCAUGAGUGCGGCAGUGACUGCAGGGAAGCUGGCACGGGCACCGGCCGACCCUGGGAAAGCCGGGGUCCCCGGAGUUGCAGCUCCCGGAGCUCCGGCGGCGGCUCCACCAGCGAAAGAGAUCCCAGAGGUCCUAGUGGACCCACGCAGCCGGCGGCGCUAUGUGCGGGGCCGCUUUUUGGGCAAGGGCGGCUUUGCCAAGUGCUUCGAGAUCUCGGACGCGGACACGAAGGAGGUGUUCGCGGGCAAGAUUGUGCCUAAGUCUCUGCUUCUCAAGCCGCACCAGAGGGAGAAGAUGUCCAUGGAAAUAUCCAUUCACCGCAGCCUCGCCCACCAGCACGUCGUAGGAUUCCACGGCUUUUUCGAGGACAACGACUUCGUGUUCGUGGUGUUGGAGCUCUGCCGCCGGAGGGUGAGUGUCGCUGCUGGGGAACUGGAACUGCCUGCGGGGCAGUUGGAGCGCCCAGACCUGGAGCUGCUGGAAAGAGUGCCCAGCAAGGGAGAGCCUGGGACUUGGAGCUGCUAGAGAAGGGUGCUGGGAGCCUCCCGCUUAGGUAUGGAAAGUGUCUUUGGUAAGGGCUUCUUGGCUCUGGGAGCUGCUAGAGGAGGGGGUUCCAGUGAAGUGGAGUCUGAGUCAUGUUGCUGAUAGGGAAGUCAGCUUCUGGACGCGAGGUGCUGGGGGGAGGGGUGCUGGUAAUGGACGCUAGGGCCCUGGUGUGCCCAGGGAGGAGUCCCAGGUUAGUGAUGCCGCGCCCUGGGAACUUCUGGGGUGGAGCUGGGUCAGUGUGGGGGGGUAGUUGGAGCCAGACUUCGGACCUUCCGGGGGAGAUAAGAGUCAGGAAAGGGAUCUGCUGCUGGGGACUCGGAGCUUCCGGAGUGGGGCUGAGAGAGGACCCCCAGGUAAGGGGGGAAGCUAGUAGGAGAAGGGGUGCUGCGAAUGGUUGUGGACAGUGUUGAGGCAGGGUCCAGAUGCCGUUAUGCUGGAGAAGGAUUGGGGUGGGGGCAUAGGGAAGGAGAGAAACCCACCAAGACCCCUCUUUCAUCCCUUGGGAGUCCAGAGUCCAGUCCUGUGCUUCCUUUGCCUGGUAACCGUCUCCCUUCCCCACCGGCCUCAAUCCACCUCCCCAUCCCUCCUGCCCUCUCCUUCCCACCCACAGUCUCUCCUGGAGCUGCACAAGAGGAGGAAAGCGCUGACUGAGCCUGAGGCCCGAUACUACCUACGGCAAAUUGUGCUUGGCUGCCAGUACCUGCACCGAAACCGAGUUAUUCACCGAGACCUCAAGCUGGGCAACCUUUUCCUGAAUGAAGAUCUGGAGGUGAAAAUAGGGGAUUUUGGACUGGCAACCAAAGUCGAAUAUGACGGGGAGAGGAAGAAGACCCUGUGUGGGACUCCUAAUUACAUAGCUCCCGAGGUGCUGAGCAAGAAAGGGCACAGUUUCGAGGUGGAUGUGUGGUCCAUUGGGUGUAUCAUGUAUACCUUGUUAGUGGGCAAACCACCUUUUGAGACUUCUUGCCUAAAAGAGACCUACCUCCGGAUCAAGAAGAAUGAAUACAGUAUUCCCAAGCACAUCAACCCCGUGGCCGCCUCCCUCAUCCAGAAGAUGCUUCAGACAGAUCCCACUGCCCGCCCAACCAUUAACGAGCUGCUUAACGACGAGUUCUUUACUUCUGGCUAUAUCCCUGCCCGUCUCCCCAUCACCUGCCUGACCAUUCCACCGAGGUUUUCGAUUGCUCCCAGCAGCCUGGACCCCAGCACCCGGAAGCCCCUCACAGUCCUCAAUAAAGGCUUGGAGAACCCCCUGCCUGAGCGUCCCCGGGAAAAAGAAGAACCAGUGGUUCGAGAGACAGGUGAGGUGGUCGACUGCCACCUCAGUGACAUGCUGCAGCAGCUGCACAGUGUCAAUGCCUCCAAGCCCUCGGAGCGUGGGCUGGUCAGGCAAGAGGAGGCUGAGGAUCCUGCCUGCAUCCCCAUCUUCUGGGUCAGCAAGUGGGUGGACUAUUCGGACAAGUACGGCCUUGGGUAUCAGCUCUGUGAUAACAGCGUGGGGGUGCUCUUCAAUGACUCAACACGCCUCAUCCUCUACAAUGAUGGUGACAGCCUGCAGUACAUAGAGCGUGACGGCACUGAGUCCUACCUCACCGUGAGUUCCCAUCCCAACUCCUUGAUGAAGAAGAUCACCCUCCUUAAAUAUUUCCGCAAUUACAUGAGCGAGCACUUGCUGAAGGCAGGUGCCAACAUCACGCCGCGCGAAGGUGAUGAGCUCGCCCGGCUGCCCUACCUACGGACCUGGUUCCGCACCCGCAGCGCCAUCAUCCUGCACCUCAGCAACGGCAGCGUGCAGAUCAACUUCUUCCAGGAUCACACCAAGCUCAUCUUGUGCCCACUGAUGGCAGCCGUGACCUACAUCGACGAGAAGCGGGACUUCCGCACAUACCGCCUGAGUCUCCUGGAGGAGUACGGCUGCUGCAAGGAGCUGGCCAGCCGGCUCCGCUACGCCCGCACUAUGGUGGACAAGCUGCUGAGCUCACGCUCGGCCAGCAACCGUCUCAAGGCCUCCUAAUAGCUGCCCUCCCCUCCGGACUGGUGCCCUCCUCACUCCCACCUGCAUCUGGGGCCCAUACUGGUUGGCUCCCGCAGUGCCAUGUCUGCAGUGUGCCCCCCAGCCCCGGUGGCUGGGCAGAGCUGCAUCAUCCUUGCAGGUGGGGGUUGCUGUAUAAGUUAUUUUUGUACAUGUUCGGGUGUGGGUUCUACAGCCUUGUCCCCUCCCCCUCAACCCCACCAUAUGAAUUGUACAGAAUAUUUCUAUUGAAUUCGGAACUGUCCUUUCCUUGGCUUUAUGCACAUUAAACAGAUGUGAAUAUU